rfam:Anolis carolinensis chromosome 6, whole genome shotgun sequence.
CUGUAUGUACCCUGUAGAUCCGAAUUUGUGUAAAAGAAACUGCGUCACAAAUUCGCGUCUAGGGGAAUAUGUAGU